GAUCUGGUGGUGUAGUGGUAACACACUUGCUUAAAAUAAGUGCUCAAUAUUUGCCUGUGCAAGAGAUCCCUGUUCAACUCGGGGCUGGGUCA